rnacentral:rRNA from 1 species
UACGGAGGGGGCGAGCGUUGUCCGAAGUUACUGGGCGUAAAGAGCGUGUAGGCGGCCAAGCAGGUCAGCUGUGAAAACUCGAGGCUCAACCUCGAGACGUCGGUUGAAACCGCUUGGCUAGAGUCCGGAAGAGGAGAGUGGAAUUCCCGGUGUAGCGGUGAAAUGCGCAGAUAUCGGGAAGAACACCCGUGGCGAAGGCGGCUCUCUGGGACGGUACUGACGCUGAGACGCGAAAGCGUGGGGAGCGAACAGG